UCGGGAAUAUUGCGCAAUGGAGGAAACUCUGACGCAGUGACGCCGCGUAUAGGAUGAAGGUUUUCGGAUUGUAAACUAUUGUCAUUAGGGAAGAUAAAAGACAGUACCUAAGGAGGAAGCUCCGGCUAACUACGUGCCAGCAGCCGCGGUAAUACGUAGGGAGCAAGCGUUAUCCGGAUUUAUUGGGUGUAAAGGGUGCGCAGGCGGCGUGCCAAGUCAGCGGUCAAAGUUCCGGGCUCAACCCGGUGAUGCCGUUGAAACUGGUGUGCUUGAGUGCGUGCGAGGGAGGCGGAAUGCGUUGUGUAGCGGUGAAAUGCAUAGAUAUGACGCAGAACUCCGAUUGCGAAGGCAGCUUUCCAGCACGCCACUGACGCUGAGGCACGAAAGCGUGGGGAUCGAACAGGAUUAGAUACCCUGGUAGU
rnacentral:rRNA from 1 species